UGAGUUAGGGUAAACUGUUAAGAUUUAAACUUACUCAUUUUACCUUCCACCAUGGGGCUUGCAACCGUCACCUGUAUCUUGAGCAGUUAAAAGAUAGAACGGUCUAGUGAAGCGCCAUGUCUCUUAUUCUUGAUCAACUAUAGCUCUGGAGUUUUUGCAGAUUUUCAAAAUAAAACUCAGAGAUUCCUUGUAUGACUCUCAAUUCUCUCUUUUGUGGUAUUUCUGGAUCCUUACCAAGGCAGUAAUGUUGUAUGCCUUCUCUCAAAGUAUGUGGUAUUUUUGGUAUGAGGCAUAAUGGCAUUGCCUUCUCUCUCACCCUACUCUAAUAAGGUUUUGAUAUCUGGAGCUCAUAGGUGGGAGAUAGCUAAUACAUACUUACAAGACAUUUAUUGCAUAGUCAAACCAUGGAUCCAAAAGAACAAGUCAAUAAGUCAAAUCAAGAUGUGCAUGUGUGGCGAAUGAAUGGUGUAUGGUGAUGAUGGUGAUAACAAUGGUGAAAGUCUAAUUCUACUUGUGCUCUUUUGAGGGGAUACAUACCUUUCUUGCUCUUUUGAAACUUUUUGAGGAGAAUGAGAUGCUCUAUAUUUUCUUUUUCUUUUCUCUUAGGUGGGUAUCUUGUACCCCUAAUUCUACUGUCGGACACUUGUCCAUUUUUACCUCUCGUCUCACUUUUCUUUUCUUUCGAGGUUCCAGGC
rnacentral:lncRNA from 1 species